rnacentral:rRNA from 1 species
GAUGAACGCUAGCGGGAGGCUUAACACAUGCAAGUCGAGGGGCAGCACGGGGUAGCAAUACUCUGGUGGCGACCGGCAAACGGGUGAGUAACGCGUAUGUAACCUACCCUGUACAGGGGGAUAACCCGGAGAAAUUCGGACUAAUAUCCCAUAACAAUAUUCAGAGGCAUCUUUGGAUAUUUAAAGUUCCGGCGGUACGGGAUGGGCGUGCGUAACAUUAGCUAGUUGGUAAGGUAACGGCCUACCAAGGCUUUGAUGUUUAGGGGUCCUGAGAGGGUGGUCCCCCACACUGGUACUGAGACACGGACCAGACUCCUACGGGAGGCAGCAGUGAGGAAUAUUGGUCAAUGGGCGCAAGCCUGAACCAGCCAUCCCGCGUGCAGGAAGACGGCCCUAUGGGUUGUAAACUGCUUUUCCAGGGAGAGAAACUUGCGCACGUGUUGCGCAAUUGACGGUACCCUGGGAAUAAGCAUCGGCUAACUCCGUGCCAGCAGCCGCGGUAAAGUAGUCGUG